GGCUGGUUAGCUCAGUCAGUUGGGCUUGACUCUAGCAAUGCCAAGGUCACGGGUUCGAUUCCCGUUCGGUCC
rnacentral:tRNA from 1 species